ACGGGUGAGUAAUGUCUGGGAAACUGCCCGAUGGAGGGGGAUAACUACUGGAAACGGUAGCUAAUACCGCAUAACGUCGCAAGACCAAAGUGGGGGACCUUCGGGCCUCACACCAUCGGAUGUGCCCAGAUGGGAUUAGCUAGUAGGUGGGGUAAUGGCUCACCUAGGCGACGAUCCCUAGCUGGUCUGAGAGGAUGACCAGCCACACUGGAACUGAGACACGGUCCAGACUCCUACGGGAGGCAGCAGUGGGGAAUAUUGCACAAUGGGCGCAAGCCUGAUGCAGCCAUGCCGCGUGUAUGAAGAAGGCCUUCGGGUUGUAAAGUACUUUCAGCGGGGAGGAAGGCGGUGAAGUUAAUAGCUUCACCGAUUGACGUUACCCGCAGAAGAAGCACCGGCUAACUCCGUGCCAGCGGCCGCGGUAAUACGGAGGGUGCAAGCGUUAAUCGGAAUUACUGGGCGUAAAGCGCACGCAGGCGGUCUGUCAAGUCGGAUGUGAAAUCCCCGGGCUUAACCUGGGAACUGCAUUCGAAACUGGCAGGCUGGAGUCUUGUAGAGGGGGGUAGAAUUCCAGGUGUAGCG
rnacentral:rRNA from 1 species